UACGUAGGUCCCGAGCGUUGUCCGGAUUUAUUGGGCGUAAAGCGAGCGCAGGUGGUUUAUUAAGUCUGGUGUAAGAGGCAGUGGUUCAACCAUUGUAUGCAUUGGAAACUGGUAGACUUGAGUGCAGGAGAGGAGAGUGGAAUUCCAUGUGUAGCGGUGAAAUGCGUAGAUAUAUGGAGGAACACCGGUGGCGAAAGCGGCUCUCUGGCCUGUAACUGACACUGAGGCUCGAAAGCGUGGGGAGCAAACAGG
rnacentral:rRNA from 1 species